UUAAUUUAUUUUACUAUAUUUAAAAAUGUCUAUUUAAAAAUAUAUAACAAACUGACAAAAUAUUUAUACUGCAAAAAGUUCACAAACUCACAAUGUGAAAUACUUAAAAUGCCCAGUUAACACGCAAUUAAUUGGUCACAUGUGCACAUGUAUUCUUCUUCUAAAUGAUCAUGAUACAUGAUUGUGCAGGUAAUAUUAACAUGAUCGUGUAGUUUUUUUUAACGAUGGAAAAAAAUGCUUUAAAUCUAAAUGAUUGUGUUGACUAUGCUAAAUGUUCAUGUUGACUAUGGUCAACAAAGUUUAGAUCAUAUUCACACGAUCAUGUAGUUCUUUUUAAACAAUGGGAAGAAGAUAUCAAAUCUAAACGAUUGUGUUGACUAUGGUAAACGACUGUUUAGAUCAUAUCUACACGAUUAUGUAGUUCUUUUUAAUGGAUGGAAUAAGUUUCAAAUCUAAACGAUCGUGUUGAUAAUGCUAAAUGAUCGUGUUAUCUAGGUAAGCGAUGUUUAGAUUAUAUCAAAAUGAUAUUUAAGCGAUUUUGAUAUUCUGGAAGAGGAGCUGGAAGAAAGAAAUAGAAGAUGUUGAAAGAAAGAAAAAGAAAAAACAAAAUCUAGAAGAGGAGUUGAAGAAAUUUGGAAGAGGAGCUAAACAAAUCUUAAAGAGAAUAUGAAUAAUAAAUUGCAAAGAGAAGUAAGAGAAGUGACAAAUUGUUUGAAAUAUCAAGGACAAAUAUGAAAUUUAUGAAAAUAUUUUACCGGCUUCGUGAGCUUUUCGUGGAUUUUUCGUUUAUGUAAAAUGGCAUCUUGCAGGAUGCGAGAGUUGGCUACGGAUCCAGUCGGAUAGAACGAAAAUGAAGUCCUCUUUAAUAAUUAUUAACAAAUGAACAAGCUGACAAAUCACAUAGGAACUCGCGAAGAGAUAAGGCGAGAAGACCAAAUCAUUACAUGAGAAGAGGUUUGCUAGAAGACAAAAGUGGUAGAUGGAGUGAUGUGACUUGACGAAAAGGACAAUUUUUGGUGCUGACGUGAUCAAAAUGAUAGAUUUUCCACCAAAAGCUGCCUAUAAAAGAGCUCCAUUUCCAUAAGGAAAGAGAAAGGCAUAUAUGGACCAUAAGGCCAGAUGUCUGGAUUGACCGGUUCCUAGAGAGUCGGUGGCAAUGAUUAAUCUUACCAUUGGUUGUAAAGUCUAUUCUUUUCUUCUCCGUUUGUAAAUUGAGAGCUUGUGGUUUGAGUGAAAAAUAUGUCAUCCCUCAUUCCCCCUAACUUGUAUUUCCUUUUUCUCCUCUUUCCAUUUUUAUUAUCUCAUUACAUUAUAUUUGUUUAUAUUCUUUAAUACAAUGUAUGCAUUUACACAUUUCAAUC